AGCUUUAUCCUUUGUCCCCAUUCCCAGAUACUGAGUCAAUGUUCUGCAGUUGGUCUGGCUCUAGUUUUCAGUCAUCAAUGCAGGAGAGACAUAUUUACACAGUAUUGCUCAUAUCCAGAGGCUGUGAAGAAAGCGAGCAAAUAUAUCAUCGUGGGUCAAAAAAGCUUUGCAGAUUUUUCGUGGAACAUGGUGAACAAACAAGUAAAAGGAAAUGCAGCAACAAAUAUUAAAUCGAUUGAAGCUGGUGGAAGUCAAGCGAGUUUUUGCACUUUUUGUACCUUUUUUUGACAUGAAGUGACACAGUAAGGAAGUAAGCAGGGUGAUGGUGCUGGAGCCUAUCCCACCUACCUGUCCCACCCUCGACAGCUUGCCAGCCUGUGACAGAGUCCACAGAUGGCCAGCACAAGUCAAGCGCUGAGGAGGUGCACCAGAAGGGUCUUACCUGAAGAUUCUCUCCG